UACGUAGGGACCAAGCGUUGUUCGGAUUUACUGGGCGUAAAGCGCACGUAGGCGGAUCGUUAAGUCGGGGGUGAAAUCCUGGGGCUCAACUCCAGAACUGCCUUCGAUACUGGCGAUCUUGAGUCCGGAAGAGGUGAGUGGAACUCCUAGUGUAGAGGUGGAAUUCGUAGAUAUUAGGAAGAACACCAGUGGCGAAGGCGGCUCACUGGUCCGGUACUGACGCUGAGGUGCGAAAGCGUGGGGAGCAAACAGG
rnacentral:rRNA from 1 species